AUUGAACGCUGGCGGAAUGCUUUACACAUGCAAGUCGAACGGCAGCACGGACUUCGGUCUGGUGGCGAGUGGCGAACGGGUGAGUAAUGUAUCGGAACGUGCCCAGUCGUGGGGGAUAACGUAGUGAAAAUUACGCUAAUACCGCAUACGAUCUAUGGAUGAAAGCGGGGGAUCGCAAGACCUCGCGCGAUUGAAGCGGCCGAUAUCAGAUUAGGUAGUUGGUGGGGUAAAGGCCCACCAAGCCAACGAUCUGUAGCUGGUCUGGGAGGACGACCAGCCACACUGGAACUGAGACACGGUCCAGACUCCUACGGGAGGCAGCAGUGGGGAAUUUUGGACAAUGGGCGAAAGCCUGAUCCAGCCAUUCCGCGUGCAGGAUGAAGGCCCUCGGGUUGUAAACUGCUUUUGUACAGAACGAAAAGGUUUCUACUAAUACUAGGAGCUCAUGACGGUACUGUAAGAAUAAGCACCGGCUAACUACGUGCCAGCCGCCGCAGUAA
rnacentral:rRNA from 1 species